CCUACGGGAGGCAGCAGUGGGGAAUCUUCCGCAAUGGGCGAAAGCCUGACGGAGCAACGCCGCGUGAUCGAAUGAAGGCCUUCGGGUUGUAAAGAUCUGUUGACAGGGACGAAUAAGCAAUGCGAAUAGUUUUGUGUAUGACGGUACCUGUUUAGAAAGCUCCGGCUAACUACGUGCCAGCAGCCGCGGUAAUACGUAUGGUGCAAGCGUUAUCCGGAUUUACUGGGUGUAAAGGGAGCGCAGGCGGCACGGCAAGCCUGAUGUGAAAGCCCGCGGCCCAACCGCGGGACUGCAUUGGGAACUACCGGGCUGGAGUGCCGGAGAGGUAGGCGGAAUUCCUAGUGUAGCGGUGAAAUGCGUAGAUAUUAGGAGGAACACCAGUGGCGAAGGCGGCCUACUGGACGGUGACUGACGCUGAGGCUCGAAAGCGUGGGGAGCAAACAGGAUUAGAUACCCUUGUAGUC
rnacentral:rRNA from 1 species